rnacentral:tRNA from 1 species
GCCUGUUAGUUUAAUGAGUAAAACACAGAUUUUGUAAAUCUGAGAUUAAAGGGCAAAU